UACAGAGGUCUCAAGCGUUUGUUCGGAUUCAUUGGGCGUAAAGGGUGCGUAGGUGGCGUCGUAAGUCGGGUGUGAAAUUUCGGAGCUUAACUCCGAAACUGCAUUCGAUACUGCGGUGCUUGAGGACUGGAGAGGAGACUGGAAUUUGACGGUGUAGCAGUGAAAUGCGUAGAGAUCGUAAGGAAGACCAGUGGCGAAGGCGGGUCUCUGGACAGUUCCUGACACUGAGGCACGGAAGGCCAGGGGAGCAAACGGG
rnacentral:rRNA from 1 species